GCUUUACCCUCGACCAACGCCUACGCGGUCUCGGUUUGGACAUACUUCCUUGCACCUUGCUAUUGAAACUGGUAAUGCUGAUUUUAUCAAAUUAUUAAUAACUAAAGGAAAGGCUGAUGUGAAUGCUGUGGAUA